UACGAAGGGUGCAAGCGUUACUCGGAAUUACUGGGCGUAAAGCGUGCGCAGGCGGCUUCGCAAGUCAGGCGUGAAAUCCCCGGGCUUAACCUGGGAAUGGCGUCUGAAACUACGGAGCUGGAGUGUGGCAGAGGGAGGUAGAAUUCCACGUGUAGCGGUGAAAUGCGUAGAUAUGUGGAGGAAUACCGAUGGCGAAGGCAGCCUCCUGGGCCAACACUGACGCUCAUGCACGAAAGCGUGGGGAGCAAAAGGG
rnacentral:rRNA from 1 species